UACCAAGACAGUCGCAGGUGUUUCCUUUGCCUUGUCUGAAAUUCCUGGCCAAUUGCCACCAGAUUGUUCGUAAAAAAAGUGAUUUGUUUUACUUCAAGUUCAACGUACGUCAAGAGUACCGUCACGUCAGCAUCAUUGCUGUCUGGCUGUGCAUGGAGCUGUCAAGGGUAUCACUUGCACCUAACUUGACUACAAGACAAGAUGACCCAAGGAAUGUCAUCAGGUAGUGGCAGGAUGCGUCACCCACCAGUAUUUGUAUGGUGCCAGGAAGAGAUUGAAAGAUGACGUUGACUGAGAGACGACCAUCAAAUCAUCCAGAGUGGAGGAUGUGACUGCUGAGGUGUUGCCAAGCAAGAGAUCCAGUUUACAUACAGUGUAUGAAUCCAGUGGCUGAAUACAGCUGAACCAAUCAGCCUGCCAGCCGACCAACCCGUCAA
rnacentral:lncRNA from 1 species